rnacentral:rRNA from 2 species
CUCUAUUUACUAGAUGGUGGGGUAACGGCUCACCAUGGCAAUGAUACGUAGCCGACCUGAGAGGGUAAUCGGCCACAUUGGGACUGAGACACGGCCCAAACUCCUACGGGAGGCAGCAGUAGGGAAUCUUCCACAAUGGACGAAAGUCUGAUGGAGCAACGCCGCGUGAGUGAAGAAGGGUUUCGGCUCGUAAAACUCUGUUGUUAAAGAAGAACAUAUCUGAGAGUAACUGUUCAGGUAUUGACGGUAUUUAACCAGAAAGCCACGGCUAACUACGUGCCAGCAGCCGCGGUAAUACGUAGGUGGCAAGCGUUGUCCGGAUUUAUUGGGCGUAAAGCGAGCGCAGGCGGUUUUUUAAGUCUGAUGUGAAAGCCUUCGGCUCAACCGAAGAAGUGCAUCGGAAACUGGGAAACUUGAGUGCAGAAGAGGACAGUGGAACUCCAUGUGUAGCGGUGAAAUGCGUAGAUAUAUGGAAGAACACCAGUGGCGAAGGCGGCUGUCUGGUCUGUAACUGACGCUGAGGCUCGAAAGUAUGGGUAGCAAACAGGAUUAGAUACCCUGGUAGUCCAUACCGUAAACGAUGAAUGCUAAGUGUUGGAGGGUUUCCGCCCUUCAGUGCUGCAGCUAACGCAUUAAGCAUUCCGCCUGGGGAGUACGGCCGCAAGGCUGAAACUCAAAGGAAUUGACGGGGGCCCGCACAAGCGGUGGAGCAUGUGGUUUAAUUCGAAGCUACGCGAAGAACCUUACCAGGUCUUGACAUACUAUGCAAAUCUAAGAGAUUAGACGUUCCCUUCGGGGACAUGGAUACAGGUGGUGCAUGGUUGUCGUCAGCUCGUGUCGUGAGAUGUUGGGUUAAGUCCCGCAACGAGCGCAACCCUUAUUAUCAGUUGCCAGCAUUAAGUUGGGCACUCUGGUGAGACUGCCGGUGACAAACCGGAGGAAGGUGGGGAUGACGUCAAAUCAUCAUGCCCCUUAUGACCUGGGCUACACACGUGCUACAAUGGAUGGUACAACGAGUUGCGAACUCGCGAGAGUAAGCUAAUCUCUUAAAGCCAUUCUCAGUUCGGAUUGUAGGCUGCAACUCGCCUACAUGAAGUCGGAAUCGCUAGUAAUCGCGGAUCAGCAUGCCGCGGUGAAUACGUUCCCGGGCCUUGUACACACCGCCCGUCACACCAUGAGAGUUUG